UGGUUACUACCCUUUGGUAGAGUUGAAUUGAUCAACGUCUUGGGAUUGAACUUGUUGGAAUCAAAGGCACCCAUUCGGAUGCACAAACCAUCUCAUAUUUCAGAAAAUGAUGAUUGGAGUCCCGUCCAGGGAUUGUAUGAAAAUGGUAUAUACUGCACUUUUUUUGCUGGGAAUGA